rnacentral:rRNA from 1 species
CAGUCGCCGCGGUAAAACGGAGGGGGCUAGCGUUGUUCGGAAUUACUGGGCGUAAAGCGCACGUAGGCGGACUUUUAAGUCAGGGGUGAAAUCCCGGGGCUCAACCCCGGGACUGCCUUUGAUACUGGGAGUCUUGAGUUCGAGAGAGGUGAGUGGAAUUGCGAGUGUAGAGGUGAAAUUCGUAGAUAUUCGCAGGAACACCAGUGGCGAAGGCGGCUCACUGGCUCGAUACUGACGCUCAUGCACGAAAGCGUGGGGAGCAAACAGGAUUAGAGACCCCCGUAGUCCCUGUCUCUUAUAC